CGGGUGAGUAACGCGUGAGGAACCUGCCUCAAAGAGGGGGACAACAGUUGGGAACGACUGCUAAUACCGCAUAAGCCCACGGCUCGGCAUCGAGCAGAGGGAAAAGGAGCAAUCCGCUUUGAGAUGGCCUCGCGUCCGAUUAGCUGGUUGGUGAGGUAACGGCCCACCAAGGCGACGAUCGGUAGCCGGACUGAGAGGUUGAACGGCCACAUUGGGACUGAGACACGGCCCAG
rnacentral:rRNA from 1 species